AGAACGAACGCUGGCGGCGUGCUUAACACAUGCAAGUCGAACGCGAAAGUACCGCUUCGGUGGUACAAGUAGAGUGGCGCACGGGUGAGUAACGCGUAGGUAAUCUACCCUUAUAUUUGGGAUAACAUACCGAAAGGUCUGCUAAUACCGGAUACGCUUAAGAAUACGCGAGUAUUUUUUAAGGAAAGGUAACCACUGAUAUAAGUUAUCGUAUAAGGAUGAGCCUGCGUACCAUUAGCUGGUUGGUGGGGUAACGGCCUACCAAGGCAACGAUGGUUAGCGGGUCUGAGAGGAUGAUCCGCCACACUGGAACUGGAACACGGACCAGACUCCUACGGGAGGCAGCAGUGAGGAAUAUUGCGCAAUGGGGAAACCCUGACGCAGCGACGCCGCGUGGGUGAUGAAGGCUUUCGGGUCGUAAAGCCCUGUCAAGUGGGAAGAAGUGCAUAUAGGUAAAUAGCCUGUAUGUUUGACGGUACCACUAGAGGAAGCACCGGCUAACUCCGUGCCAGCAGCCGCGGUAAUACGGAGGGUGCGAGCGUUGUUCGGAAUUACUGGGCGUAAAGGGCGCGUAGGCGGCUAUGUAAGUCGGAUGUGAAAGCCCACGGCUCAACCGUGGAAGAGCAUCUGAAACUGUAUGGCUUGAGUAUGGGAGGGGAAAGUGGAAUUCCCGGUGUAGAGGUGAAAUUCGUAGAGAUCGGGAGGAACACCUGUGGCGAAAGGCGAC
rnacentral:rRNA from 1 species